AAAAAUGUGCAAUAUCCUUAUAUUUAUUUGUUACCCCUUCAUCCUAGUACAUCCCUGCAUCUUACUCAAUCCAAUUCCAUUAUCAUUUAUAGCACAAUUGUUUAUACACUUAUUUAUCUGCAAAGGGUUUUUAUUUUUUAUUUUUUUGACUGUGUGUUGUUGUCUUUUGUGUACUGGAAGCUUAUGUCACUAAAACAAAUUCCUUGUAUGCGCAAGCAUACUUGGCAAUAAAGCUCUUUCUGAUUCUGAUUCUGAUUCUGAUUCUGAUAAAAACUUCAAAAGAGACAGACAUGAAGUUGUAGUCUGUGAAAGAUGUUUUCUCUGUUUUAUUGGGAUGGACAUCUUUCCUUUAUUACUUUACUAGUUUUGGGGGUGAGUAAUUUAUUAUAUGUGCAUUAUUCUUCCAACAAUAGUUAUUACUGUAAGAGUUUUCAUUAGUAAGCAUUGCUGUAUGAUAAGAUCUUUGUCUAGUGCUCUUUCUUAUGAAUGUUUUAGCAUGACUUUGUGAAAGGUUAAUUAAACUACAACUAUCUCAUAGCUUGCUAUGGUCAUGGUUGCUUGUAAUUGAAAACAUUCUAUUAAUUUACACACAUUAAUGUGUGGCAAAACAUUUUGCAAUCAAUGUGUUUUUUGUCAUUUCUUCCAGCGCUAGAUCACAGAGCAAGUUAAAGCCAUAACCAUGCUUGUUUUACUGCUGAUCGCAUCAAUGUUUCGGCAAGGUCUUACAGUAGUGGGCUACGGAGACAACUUUAUCACUGCCUUUCCAGAGAACAUUGGUUUCUUCUAUACGUCUAAUACCAAUAACCGUCUAAGAGUCACAGCCCUGCAUGACAACACUUCAUUAAAAGUCUUCUACAAAACCACACAGAAAGACUUACAAAUUCCAAAGUCAGGACAGACCAUGAUUAUUUUGUUUCCAAAGUCCGCUGAAGUAAAUGAACUAGGCCCCUCGAUUUUAUCUGUCAGAAUUACCAGUGACAAAAACAUCACAGUGGUUUCUAUAAGUCACCAGGCAGGCAGCACCCAGUCCUAUGUCGUCCAGCCAACUGUAAAUCUUGGCACAAACUAUUUGAUCCCUUUGCUGGAUUACCCAGGGUAUCUUGAAUCUUUUAACCUAACUAGGCUUGUCAGUACAACCAUAAGAUACAGCUCAUUCAAGUUACUCAUUAUCAAUGCGGUGGACAGUCAAAACAGCGUCACUAUAGUCAAGCAAACAUCAGCAUCAGGUGUUCGUGAAGAGACGUUCAGUAUCAAUUCCUACCAACUGGUCCAGCUUCAGACCAAUGGUUCUAUUUUGAGGGUCAAAUCGAGCAAAGAAGUCGCUGUGAUAUUGACCCACCCGUGUGUAGAGACUGAGAACUGUAAAUGUAACAUGGUAAUGAAUCAGAUUAUUCCCACAAAGUUUCAGGGUCGGAGCUUUAUCGUACCUUCCAUCUUCAAAGUGUCCAAGACCAAGCUACUUAUGCUAUCAGAAAACACAUCCACGCUAUUCCACGAUGGUAACCAGUUACAGGCUUCUCCCUCGACGCUUCUGCCAUUUUCAGACCCGCAGAAAUCCCAGCUGGUUAAUGCUACGGAGCUAGUGUCCCUCAGACUUUUCAGUCCAGGUCUCAUUGUGGAGCUGAUCCCAGAAAACAUGUUCUUUGCUUGCUACCUGCUGCAGUUUGCUGAAAUAAAUGGCAAGGCUUUGGUGAUCGCUGAAACAGACAGCAAAGAUGACGUGCGCAUACAUGGAGGUUUGCUCUCAGCAUCUAACUGGACUGCAAUCACUGGCACAAACUACUCUUCAACUGUUGUAACUAUACCUUAUAAAAUGUCCACAAUCUGGCAUCCAACAUCAAGGAUUGCUGUUUAUAUGCUGGAUUAUAUAUCUGAAAAAGUAAUAUUUGGAGGCCCAGCUGUACCAAUCAAUAAAAAACCAGAUCUUCAUGGCUGUGUGUUGGUUCCCGGAGCAUUUGCGAUUGGACGGGACCCCCUGACUUGGAAGAAGUCUCGCGAGUACUGCAUGAAUAAUCAAAAUCAGUUUGCCUGUCCUAUAACUGAAUCUGUCCAUAAAGAUAUGGCUGAUAACCUGACCAAGGAGGAUGGGGAAGGCUGGAUCGGUCUCCGCCGCAGUUUACUAACUACAGGCUGGUACUGGCAGGAGGAGUAUGAUCCCCCAAUCUCUGUCAAAUACGUUCACUGGGACAAAAAGCAUCCACUGCAUGUUUUGAAGGGCUUAUGCACUUCAGUGUCCCUUGACCCUAAAAAUGAUUUCAAAUGGCGAAGUGCACGGUGCUGUGAUAAAAAGAAGCCUGUCUGCUACAAAAGGCCUGCAUAUCUCAAUCCCUCACAAGAUUUCUUGGUAAUAGAAAUGUAGUUUAGUGCUUGUUGGUAAUGCUAUUCUUUAGGUUCUUUAUUUCCUACUUGUAUCACCGCCUGCAUAUCUGAGAUUUCAAGCAGUUGCAUUGAUAUCAUGAACGUAUGUAGACAUUCUAAACAUUCAGACAGUUGGAUCCGGAAUUAAACUCUGUUUUUUUAACUUAGACAUCAACUCAAAUGGUAGCAGGAAGUAGAUCCUGGAGUUAUGAAUGCCAUAUCAACAAUAAAAUGUAAAUCAUUAAUAAAAUGAACA
ensembl:lncRNA